rnacentral:rRNA from 1 species
UAAUUCCGAUAACGAACGAGACUCUCCCCUGCUAACUAGUCGGUUGGAUCUUGAUCGCAAUUUAUUUUGCAUCGCUACGAGUUGUUCCCCGAGUCACUCUGGGCGUUGCGGUGCGUGUGUGUGGUGCUCGUGCGUUGUUGUGCUUUCGGGUGCUCUCGCGCUUGUGCUGUGUGUGCGUUGCUGUGCGUCUAGAGCCUUGGAUCGUUCACUCCAAGUCCGCCGCUUAUGAUUAAAAUUCUUCUUAGAGGGAUUCACGGUACUGAAACCGUAAGAGACUGAGAGCAAUAACAGGUCUGUGAUGCCCUUAGAUGUUCUGGGCCGCACGCGCGCUACAAUGCCGGGCACAGCAGGUAUUUUUCCUACUCCGACAGGAGCGGGUAACCCUGUGAAAGCCCUUGUUCUUAUAUAUAAUGCGUUUGGUUUCGGCCAAACGUUACUGGCGUGAUUGGGCCUGGGUCUUGCAAUUUUUUCCCACAAACGAGGAAUGCCUUGUAGCGGCGAGUCACUGAGCUCGCCGUGACUCAGUCCCUGCCCUUUG